AUCUCACUUUCCAAUUUGUUUUUCUCUCCAAACUACUCUUGCUCAGCCGUAAGCUUCCAAAGACCAUUGCCCCCAUUCCCACACUUUAAUCUGGCGCUUCUUCACUUUGGCCACCACCCAUGGUGGCCGAUCGACUCCAAUCCCAACCUUGUUUGUUUUUUAAGGAGUAACUCUUCCUCUAUUUUUUAACUCCUUGACACCAAACUCUAAUGAUGCUAGACAAACAACCCACAGUCAAAUAUAUUUCAACCUUUCGACUCUCGAUUCCGACGGCGAUGACUCCGGCGACCCUCGGUUCUCCCUUUUCCCGACGCGAAGACAAGGUGAACUUCCCGAUGGCUCUAACUUACGUCGAAAAAACAAACCGAGGAGAGGUGAGCUGGAGACUAUUGGGAAGCAUCUGGAAACGAAGGGUCGUGGCAGGGAACAGUUGGAGCCUUCUGGAAUGGGAGGCUGCUCGGGCUUCUUUCGUGGACUAAGGGUCCACUGUUGACUGCUGGAUCAUGAAGAGGCGGCGGCAAAAAUCAUAUCCAUUUGUUAGGGUUUGCCGUGAAUGUUAACAAAUAAGUUUAUUGGGCUUGGGUAAAUGGAUGAUGGGUUAUGGGUUGCAAUGUAAUUAGAUUUAAGUAAUGGAUAGUGUAAAUGGUCAUUUGGGCUAGUGUGAAUUUGGGUUAAAUGUAAUGGACUUUGGCAUUGGGUUGUAAUGGAAUGGAUUAGAAUUUGGACUUUAGUGAA